rfam:Oryctolagus cuniculus chromosome 14, whole genome shotgun sequence.
GGCGCUGUGGCACAGCAGGUUAAUGCCCUGGCCUGAAGCACCAGCAUCCCAUAUAGGCACAGGUUCUAGUCCUGGCUGCUCCU